AAGAGCUUACCAUUGAAAAAAUGAUUGUCGAUGCCAACGAAAGACGUGUUAGAAGUGAAAGCAUUUUAUAAAAAUGCAAGCCAGCUAAAACUAUUGUAUUUAUAUGAAAUACACCGAUCUUAAAACCAAAAACUUUAAACAGAGAAUAUAUAAAUCCAUUAAAAGGUUGGAAUUAGGGAGGCUGUUUCAAAGUUGUUAUAAAUAAAAAAAUCUUGUGUCAAUCAGUGUUCUUGUGUGUGUAUAUUAUUUAACUUAAUUUAAUACUUAACAUUUAACAUAAUUAUGUUGGUAUGUGAAAUUCUAUUCAAAGGAAAGCAUAUCUGUGAAAGACAAAUGAAUUAAAGCAACAUGUCUCGUGGCAAAAAUGCCACAUUUUCGGAUAAUUCGCCAAUUAAGAUCAAACCAUUCAUUAUUUUAGUCUUAAAUUUAAGUAUAUGGUGUCAGAAUAUUAGUGCAGCUCCAUAUUUAACCCUAAAUGAGCUAACAAAUUCUGAGCGACCUUUCUUUGAUGAUAUUAGCCCAAGAAAUGUUUCGGCCGUCAUUGACGAAAUCGCAAUUUUAAGAUGUCGGGUUAAAAAUAAAGGAAAUCGAACGGUAUCAUGGAUGCGUAAGCGGGACCUUCACAUUCUUACAACGAACAUUUAUACGUACACCGGCGAUCAACGAUUUUCUGUAAUACAUCCACCAGGCAGUGAAGAUUGGGACUUAAAAAUCGAUUAUGCACAGCCACGAGACAGCGGCGUAUAUGAGUGUCAAGUGAAUACUGAACCUAAAAUAAAUUUAGCGAUUUGUCUGCAAAUAAUAGCUGGCAAUGACUUCCAAGACUUAAAAACUGAGAAGCGCUUUUACGACACAAAAUCAGCUCGAGCCAAAAUUCUUGGAUCCACGGAAAUUCAUGUAAAACGGGAUAGCACUAUUGCCCUGGCUUGCUCAGUUAAUAUCCAUGCACCAUCAGUGAUUUGGUAUCAUGGCUCAUCAGUUGUUGACUUUGAUUCACUUCGCGGAGGAAUAAGUUUAGAAACGGAAAAAACUGAUAUAGGAACAACAAGUCGACUGAUGCUAACGCGAGCUUCAUUAAGAGACUCUGGAAACUAUACAUGUGUUCCAAAUGGAGCCAUUCCAGCUUCUGUUAGGGUUCAUGUAUUAACCGGUGAGCAACCUGCAGCAAUGCAAACUAGUGCUGCCAUUCGGAUAAGGGCUUACACUGCAAUGAUAACUAUCAUAUCAGCAAAAGUGUUGUUAUAUAUUUCAAGUCUUAAGAAGCAUAUGUAUCUUAAAGGGAGAUGACUAACUAAUAGAAUUUUUAUUAUGAUAUAUAAAUAACAUUAAGCUGUUCUAUAAACUGACAUUAGUUUCGAGCAGUCAGGAUUGUUUGGAUUUCCAUGAGCCUCCCAGCUUGGAUAGGGCUUAAUUGCUGGGCUGGACUCUUUUGGAGGAAGCGGCAGUGUACCUAAACUAGCAGGUACACCAUUUUUCCAACGAGGAGUUGUAACAAACAGGCGGUUAUUAUGGACAUCAAUGCCUAAAGGUUUUUCGAUGCAGGCCAGAGCUUUUUUGUAAGAUAUUAGAGACAACGCUUAAGCUUUGUUUAUGGAAAAAGCUUAUUCAAUUAUAUAUAUAUGUAUCAAUAUGUUGUCUUGAUCUUUACCAGCCGAAUUUAUUUUAGAUUGUCAUUUUGUUGCACAAUUGGUUUAAGCUUGUAGUAAAAUCUUAAAUAACAAAAUAUUGAACUUGUUUACUGUGCAUUAAAAUUAAAUUUUUCAUUUUCGGAUAACUGAGUAACGGAUAUCUCAUAGUCUGGGAACUCGAAUAUAUCGUUGUUUCUGGUUUCCUUUGGUUUUAAUAUGAGUACAAAUGCAAGGAUCGCAAAUGUGUUAAUGGUCAAUCUUGUGAUAGAGGUUUCAGUUUUAAAAACGGUACCUGUACAGAUAUUGACGAGUGCUCACAUAACACAUUAAACAACUGCCAUGGCAUUAGUAAUCAGGAUUGUAUUAACACCGUUGGAAGCUAUACCUGCAAUUGCCAGGCUGGAUUUAAUUUGGAUGCCACUCUAAAUAAGUGUGUUGAGAUGUGAUAACACGAUCGGAUCAUAUAUAUGCACGCGACUUCAAAGCUGCGGCACAGGAUAUACCUUGAAUGCGGAAACGGGGAAUUGCGACGAUGAUGAUGAAUGCAUGCUGAGCACACAUAACUGUCCUUCAAACUAUGAUUGUCACAAUACAAGAGGAUCAUUCCGAUGUUAUA